CAGUACCUCAAGUGGUCAGGAUGAUUAUUGGGCCUAAAGCAUCCGUAGCCGGCGCUGUAAGUUUUCGGUUAAAUCUGUACGCUCAACGUACGGGCUGCCGGGAAUACUGCAGCGCUAGGGAGUGGGAGAGGUAGACGGUACUCGGUAGGAAGGGGUAAAAUCCUUUGAUCUAUUGAUGACCACCUGUGGCGAAGGCGGUCUACCAGAACACGUCCGACGGUGAGGGAUGAAAGCUGGGGGAGCAAACCGGAUUAGAUACCCGAGUAGUCC
rnacentral:rRNA from 1 species